UCGUCUGGAUUCCCCACCAUGGCCUGGGCCCCUCUGCUCCUCGCGCUGCUCACGUACUGCUCAGGGGUCAGUUCGCAGCCCGUGGUGACUCAGGAGCCCUCGAUGUCGGUGACCCCAGGAGGGGCUGUCACUCUGUCCUGCAGCCUGAGCACUGGAGCCAUCACCACCAGCAACUAUCCAGGCUCUGCUCCUCGGCAGCUUAUAUACCAAACUAACAACAGACCCUCCGGGAUCCCUGCCCGGUUCUCUGGGUCCAUAUCCGGUAACAACGCUGCCCUGACCAUCACCCGUGUCCAGGCAGAGGAUGAGGCUGACUAUUACUGUGUUGUACAUACUGGUACUGGACAACACCCUGAGUGUCCUGGAAGUUAG